rnacentral:tRNA from 1 species
UGGCCCAGUCGGUAGAGCAUGAGACUCUUGAUCUCAGGGCUGUAAGUUCGAGCCUUUU